UAUUUGUGUUGGCUUCAUUAGUUACAACUUUAACACUUAUAUACAGUUACAUAUUAAUUGACACUUUGACACGCCCACUUUAGAAAGCAGGGGAUUCCCAUGACAGCAAGUACUCAGAGUAGCUUUGUGAUAGAAAACUUGUUUAUAGUCGGAUUGUAAAUAUAUCUAAGUAGACAACAGUGAUAUAUUAAAAGGCAAUGAUUGUCACUUUUGAUGCAGAGGAAAAAUAAGUAUUACCAGCUAAUUGUCUUGUCUCUGUAAAUUUUGUGAUAUAAAAAAAUUAUAUAGGUAAUAUAUAUACAUGUAUUUGAUUUGUGAAUAAAAAAAACAAUGAAAAUAAAAGUAAUACUCAU
rnacentral:misc_RNA from 1 species